AUAUUUUGAGGUUAGUACCCGUUCAAUCUCUAUAUUUUUAAAAAUACCUCAAAACAUCCCCGACAUUAAAUUAUUAGCACAUUUCCUCUUACUUUUUGUUGCUUUUGGCUUAAUUUUUACAAUAUUACCCUCUUACAAUUUUUUUUUGGACAUUAGUAAAAAGAAAAAAAUUAAUUAUCAAUUUAAUCUCAAAAAAUAAAAUAGAAACAAAAUUAAUAUAUGUUACUUUUUUGUAACACACUGCUGAGGAAUUAAUA
rnacentral:lncRNA from 1 species